ensembl:snRNA U6 U6 spliceosomal RNA
GUGCUUGCUUUGGUAGCACACAUACUAAAAUUGGAAUGAUACAGAAAAGAUUAGCAUGGCCCCUGUACAAGGAUGACAGGCAAACUCAUGAACUGUUCCAUAUUUUU